rnacentral:rRNA from 1 species
UGAUCAGCCAUCCCGCGUGUGCGAUGAAGGCCUUCGGGUUGUAAAGCACUUUUGGCAGGGAAGAAACGGCCUGAGAUAAUACCUUGGGCUAAUGACGGUACCUGCAGAAUAAGCACCGGCUAACUACGUGCCAGCAGCCGCGGUAAUACGUAGGGUGCAAGCGUUAAUCGGAAUUACUGGGCGUAAAGCGUGCGCAGGCGGUUCGGAAAGAAAGGUGUGAAAUCCCAGGGCUUAACCUUGGAACUGCACUUUUAACUACCGGGCUAGAGUACGUCAGAGGGGGGUAGAAUUCCACGUGUAGCAGUGAAAUGCGUAGAGAUGUGGAGGAAUACCGAUGGCGAAGGCAGCCCCCUGGGAUGAUACUGACGCUCAUGCACGAAAGCGUGGGGAGCAAACAGGAUUAGAUACCCUGGUAGUCCACGCCCUAAACGAUGUCAACUAGCUGUUGGGGUUUAUUAACCUUAGUAGCGCAGCUAACGCGUGAAGUUGACCGCCUGGGGAGUACGGUCGCAAGAUUAAAACUCAAAGGAAUUGACGGG